AAUGUAAAAUGGACCACAUUUCAUCUUCCAUUAAAAUUUGUAACAGAAAGAUCUUCGCCAACCCCUAAAUCCUAUCAUUCAGAUUAUUGCCCGAGCUUAUUCGAAAACAAAUUUGUGCAUUUAGGUUGAAAGAUGUGGAGUUCAAUCGAGAAUUUAAAGGAGAAUCUCAAUAGGAUCGCUCUUGAAAUUCACGAUGAGGACGACGAAGAUGAAGAAGAGCUUUCGAUUUACAAUUCAGAUGAUCGUUCGGAUACUAAUUCAUCAUCUAAUCGGAGAAUUUCUAGGAAUUUCAGUCGU
rnacentral:misc_RNA from 1 species